rfam:Halobiforma nitratireducens JCM 10879 contig_148, whole genome shotgun sequence.
AUUCCGGUUGAUCCUGCCGGAGGCCAUUGCUAUUGGAGUCCGAUUUAGCCAUGCUAGUUGCACGGGUUGAGACCCGUAGCAGAUAGCUCAGUAACACGUGGCCAAACUACCCUCUGGAGCGCAAUAACCUCGGGAAACUGAGGCUAAUGGCGCAUACGGCUC